rnacentral:lncRNA from 1 species
CUAUCCGCAGCUCCUCCGUCUUCCCCCCGAACCUUUUACCUUUCUUUCUUUCUUCUCCAAGACUAGCAAGCUGAGAUUUCAACCCGUCUCUCUAAGAAGCAGCGGCAUGCUUUUCCAAACGCAAUCUGCAAUUUAAUCAAACAGCCACCGAAUUUUCUGGAAUCCGGUCAACGCAGCGAUGCUCCGGAUUUUGAUCGGUCAACGCCAGCUGCUUACCUGAGCUCCAAAAGACCCAACAGUGAUGACGUCCUCCACCUCUGUUUCUGUUUGGCUGAUUCUGCUGUUUGGCUUCUUUCACCUCCACAAGCUUGCUGCCAAUGUCGAAGGUAAUGCUCUGUGUGUUAUUGAAUUUGGGAGUGUUUGGUUGUGGGAACUGGAAUGAACUAAUGAAUGAAUGAAUGACUGGAAACAUUCCCGAAGAGCUUGGGGGUUUGUCGGACUUGGUGAGCUGGAUCAUUACUUGGCAACCUUGCAAAACUGCGUUUCCUGUAUGAACCCCCAUCCUUUUGUUAGAUAAAAUCUGUCGUCUUUCUUUUUCAUUCGAUAUGCUAAUCUACUGUUUUUAAUUGUUCCUUUGGAGUGACUUUCUUCCUUAAAGUCCAUGAUAGCAUUUCGGUUAAACCCAAAAUAUUACUUGGGUUGACUAUGAUCUCCCAAUAUUCUGGUCAAGGCACAAUACAAAACAAGUGAUAAAACAAUACGAAAAAAGAACAAAACAUGGGAAAACACGUAAUUGGAACCUUGAAGGCAAAUAUUCCAUGUGCCGGAUGCAUACAAUUUAAAAUAUGACCCCUGUCUUCAAGAUUCAUAAGAAGGGAACAUCCAAUCAUUGCAAGUCCUGUGGGUUUCAUACACUUUCAUCUCUGUAAGAGGGAGGAAGAGCGAAAAGUUACUAAUUUCUCCGCUAUCAGAGAAUGCUAAUAACAUUUAGUUUUGCCAUGGAAUGCAGGGAUCUUUCAAAUAACAAUCUGACGGGGGAUCUUUUUCACUUUUUACUCCCAUCACAGGUUUGUUCUAAAGUGAAUUACAUGCAGGUUUUUACAACUUAUACUUUUUCACUUUUAACGGGCUGAGCCCAAAUCCUAAACUUAUUACUUUCCAGAUGGCUCUGUUUUGUUCCACUUCCAGCCUCUCCACAUCCAGGUUUUUACAACUUAUACUGUUCUUGUGAUAUUAACUCAAAUUUAUUCUGAGAGCUGGCUCUAUUUUGUUUCACAGACACUUGUGAUAUCAACUCCAGUCCAGUCCUAGUUAAUGUUUUUUUUGGUGUUUUUCUGUUAAAACUUUUCGUAAUACAACAUUAUUGUUGGAAUCACUGCUGUAAAGAUUUUAAGAAGAUGGUAGUUAGGAAAGGAAUAGAUUGAGGGUAUUUAUAUUAUUCUGAUUAGAAAGUUAAGUGAAUUUAUUGUUUUUGAUUUGUAAACAAAUUGCUUACAAAUAAUCAAAUUCUAUUAAACAAAAAUAAUUGCUUACAAUAAAGUAUAACUAUAAAUAUCAUUGUAAAAUGUAUUUUAUAAAUAUUUUUAAUUUAUGUUUUUUAACGAAUUGAGAACGAAUCAAACUGAAUAUCAUAUUGUCUAUGUGUCUUUGGCAAAUGAUACUACAGGUUACUACCGAAUUUCGUACCUUAACCGAAUUGCGAACUCGAACCAUACCCUGUAUGUGGCAACUAUGGGUGCCAAGUACUGGGGCUAUUUCUGGAGGGGGGCUAUUGCUGGAGGGGUUGCUGCUGGUUCUGCUUUCCUGUUUGCUGCACUUGCAAUUGCAUUUGCUUAUUGUCGACGAAGAAAAUCACAGGAUUAUUUCUUUGAUGAACCUGGUUAGUGAACUAUUAAGAGUAAUAUAGCUUGAUCAAGUUGGCAUUGUAUGGGAUGCAGGUUUCACUCAUCUACUGUCUUUGCAGCUGAGAAGGAUCCAGAAGUUCAUUUACGACAGUUCAAAAGGUUCUUUGAGCGAGCUACAAGUUGCGACGGAUACCUUUAGCGACAAAAAUAUUCUUGGUAGUGGUGGAUUUGGUAAGGUUUAUAAAGGACGCUUAGAUGAUGGAACUCUGGUUGCUGUAAAAAGACUUAAAGAGGAGAGAACCCAAGGCGGGGAGCUACAGUUCCAAACAGAAGUUGAAAUGAUUAGCAUGGCUGUCCACCGCAAUCUGCUUCGUGUGCAUGGUUUUUGCACGACACCAACAGAAAGGCUGCUUGUAUAUCCUUUUAUGGCCAAUGGAAGUGUGGCAUCAUGUUUAAGAGGUACUCAUCUAAAUUGUUUGCUGCGUUGAUGAAUCUUUUUGUUUUCAUGACAUUAAAAUUUUUUUGGAUUACAUUGAUAUAAUGAACCUGACCAAUUUGGUUUGGAGUAUGAACACUGAUUUUUUUUUUUUAAUGUUUUUUUUUUCCUUCAAUUUUAAGUUAUCUUCUCGAUGCUGAUUUUAUUUUGUUUAAUUUGAAAAGGAUGACAAGAUGACCCUUUUUUGGGUAGGACGGGUGGUAUGAUAUGUGUUAGACCACAUUACCUGUUGCUUGUAAUUUGAAAUUCUCCUCUCAUAAGUAUGUGGAUAUAUUAUUGUAGAUCGUCCAGAAGGACAACCUGCACUUGAUUGGCCAAUAAGACAACGCAUUGCAUUGGGAUCUGCAAAAGGUCUUGCUUAUUUACAUGAUCACUGUGAUCCAAAAAUUAUUCACCGUGAUGUGAAAGCAGCAAACAUAUUGUUGGAUGUGGAAUUCGAAGCAGUUGUUGGAGACUUUGGGUUGGCUAAACUCAUGGACUACAGGGAUACACAUGUUACCACAGCUGUACGUGGCACAAUUGGUCAUAUAGCACCAGAGUACUUUUCAACUGGAAAAUGUUCCGAGAAAACUGAUGUUUUUGGAUACGGAGUCAUGCUUCUUGAACUCAUCACUGGGCAGAGGGCUUUUGAUCCUCAGCUUGCGAGUCAUGAUGACCCCAUGUUAGUUGAUUGGGUAUGCAUUUACAUCUUUCUGUUUGUGUAUGUAGCUAAUUUAUUGUUAUAUGCAAGAUUAUUAUUUCUUGGGAGCAGCCUCUCCAUAAAUGGGGGUAAGGCUAGCCGACAUUCACCUCUUCCAGACCCUGCGUAAAGCGGGAGCCUUGUGCACUGGGUACGACCUUUAUGCAAGAUUAUUAUUUCCCAACAACAUUUGCAUUUCCUUAGUAAUUAGCUUUUAGAAAAUAAGUUUGGUUUAAUUAGCUUUUAUUAGUUAGAGUUGUGAUUAGCUGUGAAGAUUUGUUUAUCUUUAUUUAUAACAAUCUAAGGUUUAAGCUGUCAGAGUUAAUUUUUGCAUUUCCUUAGUAAUUGUUACCAUUCCUGUUUGAUUAAUGUAAAAAUCACUUGUCUUUUUGGCCCGAAUGUUGAAAACAGUAAGAAUCAUGGAUCAAAGAAAAGAAAUAAUACUUAACUUUUAGAAAAUAACUUUAGUUUAAUUGGCUUUUAUUAGUUAGAGUUACGAUUAAGCUGUGAAGAUAUAUUUAUCUUUAUUUAUGACAAUCUAAGGUUUAAAUUGUCAGAGAUUAAUUAUUACAUUUCCUUGGUAAUUGUUGUUAGUAUUGUUGUUGCUUCUUUUGCCAAUGUAUUGGCCUUGCUGUGAUUUCUUGAAGAAUUUGGCAUGUGUUUUGUAUCGAUCCUAAUUUCCUCAUCAUCUCUUUAUUCUCGCUAUCUUGGCCUCUUGCUUCUUUCUAUUCUCUCUAUUUGCAUCUUUGUCAAUUGUUAUAUUUGAAUGACGAUGCAUUUUUGUAAGCUAUUUGAUUUUCUGGAGAUACUGCGGCCCUUCAAAUUUUGAACAUUACAACACAUUUUCACUCUCCUAGGUGCCCUCACCUUUUGUUUCAAAUUGUAGAACUAUCUGACGUUUUCCGUUUUAUUUUAACUAAAACAAUUAGGUCAAAAGACUACUGAAAGAUCGAAGGUUGGAAACACUUGUUGAUGCUGAUCUAAAUGGUAAUUAUGUUGACGAUCAAGUGGAGCAGCUCAUCCAAGUAGCUCUACUGUGCACACAAGGCACCCCAGGGGAACGACCCAAGAUGUCAGAGGUUGUUCGGAUGCUGGAAGGCAAUGGUUUGGCUGAAAGAUGGGAGGAGUGGCAAAAAGAGUAGGUGUUCCACCAAGAUUUCAACCCUAUUCAUCAUCCAAGUACUAAUUGUAUCAUAGACUCAACUUUUCAUAUUCCUCCUGAUGAGUUGUCCGGUCCCAAAUGAUAUGCUCGUUGGUUCUGUCCCCUGUAUACAUCUAAGAAGCCUUCAGAGGACUGGAGAAUGUCCAUUUCGUAUUUCAGUGAUACCACAUUUGUGCUUAUGUUUUGUCUUUGUUUUCAAUUUUGGUUUUGUCUUGCGUAUUUUUUAGAUCAUAAAAUGGAGCUGAUGCUAUUGUAAUUUGGGAUGUGCUAUCCACACAUCACUUUUUACUUCUCACACACCCCUUGUUAAUUUCUGUCCGUUGAUCUUCUUCAAUUCAUCUGAUCCGACGGCCGAAAACCAAAAAGGUGUGGGAGAAGUAAAAAGGGGUGUGUGGAUAUCACACCCCUUGUAAGUUUUAUAGGGUCAACUGGCAUUACGAAGUUAUAUGGUGCUAGCAGGAAUUAGGAAGGGCCAUAAAAGCACUCAUUCCUGAUGAUUUAUGUAUCUAUCUAGAAAUUAGUCUAAAUUGUCGAGUAAAUAAUCAUUCUAAACUUAUAACCAUCUAUAUAUUUUAGUGUUCCUAUAGAUCCUGUAGAUACGAUAAGGACACUAGGUCAAGUGCAUGGCUGGUUGCGGAUGGAUAGUGUUUGAAAUUUCAUUGUGAUCAUUGCAAGUGCGAAUUUGUGGCACCACCUUUAUAAGUACUUGAACUAAGGCAGUAGGGGAUCAGGAGAUCACUUUGUGUCAUUCCAACACAGGAAUUCGAGCUUUGUCUAAUCUCUUUAGAGUAUCGCCAAUGGGGAUCCCUCUACUAUCUUUGAGGAUUUAUUUAGGACUAGCUGUAGGGUAAGACCUAAACCUAAAUAUUUGAGUUUAAACAAAAUAAAAAUGCAAUCUAAUUGUGGGACUUUUUUGUUUUUUAUGAACAAAAAAAUAUUAUCUGGAUUGAGUUAAGCCUUAUAGUGGGCUAGUAAUGACCUCUCUUACAUGUGAAGAGGAAUACUAUUAAACCGUAGUACUAGGUAAUAUCUAAUGGUUGGACUUAAACCUAAAAGGUUUGGCUUUUGACCAAGCUAAACCCAAAUUUGGGUUUGUAUUUGGCUGACCCAAAUUUUUGGGGGCCCUACCUUUUUUUCUGAAAAGCAACGGGCCAAUGAUUUAUUGAAGUGGCCGCGGCAUAUGGGUUAGGGGUGGUUCGGUAUGGGAUCCCAUACCAAAACACUUGUCCCGAUUCUCAAACCGAAAUUUUCGGGAAUCCCAAUUUCAAUACCGAUCCCAAACCAAAUUUUCGGGAAUCCCAAUUUUUGGGAAUCCCAAAAUAGUUUCGGGAUUUCGGGACAAAUCGGGAAUCCCGAAAUGGUUUUGGGCUUUUGGGCUUUUAGACUAAAAUUUGACAUAUUAUGCUUUUAGGCCCAAUCUGCCAAUUUGUUUCUACAAAUCUGCCAAUCAAAUCUGCCAAUCAAAUGGCAAGGCUUGUUUCUACUAAUCUCUACUUAAUAUUAAUACUAACACUUAGUUUUCAUUUCGAUGCAGAGAGUGAUGGAUCAACUGCAAAAUAGUGAAAGAAAACUAAGAAGCUCAAAACUGUACACAAAAACCAAAAUCAAGCAAAACGAAGAAGCUCAAAACUGAACAUUGCAAAGUAAACGCCAGAAACUGAGCACAGAAACUGAGCAAGCAUGCCAAGAAUCAAAGCAAACCCCACAAGAGUCAAGAAAUGAUAAUUGAGUCAUUCGAAGAGUACCCAGACAAGUUCUGUGCACAAAUUUGACAAUAUGGCUAGCAAAUAGCAAGCAAACAACAAAUAAUUAACAAGAACUAGUAACAGUGAGCAGAAUCAUAAGGUCUGAUUAGCUCACCUUCAUCAAGCACAAUUCCGACGUUCAAUCCCUUGAAAACAUCAGAUUCAGCCAGCUUCUCAGCACCGUCGUGUCCCCCAAUCUCCUCAUCAGGACCAUAUGACAAAUAAACAGACCUUUUGGGCUUAAACCCAGAAGCCUUGAGCCGUCGAAUCGCCUCCAAGUACUGAAUCCCGACGCACUUCAUGUCCUGGGACCCCCUGGCGUAAACGUCGCCGUUCGAGUCCAAGUUGGCCGAGAAAGGGGGGGUGUAACCACUUGUCGUGCUCGGCCGGAACGAUGUCGGUGUGGGAAUUGAGAAGAACAGAGGAGAGAGAGAUGAGAUGAGGGCUUGUCGGCUAGAUGAGGGAGAGAUCAGAGAUGAGAGAUUAGGGCUCGGCUAUUCGAUUUGAUAGAAACAAUGGAACGAAAGUGAAGUUUGUGAAAUGGUAUUCUGACCUAAAAACAUAUGAACGGCAAAGAUUAAAUCCAAAACAAUGAACGGUUGAAAUAAUUCUUUUAUAAUUAAAAGAAAAAAAAAAAAUAUAUAUAUAUAUAAUAUUUAUUUUCGAUUCGGUCUGGGAAUACCGAAAAUUUGAGAUUCAAAACCGAAUCCCAUACCGAAAAUAUCGGUUUGGUUCGGGAUUACAUACCGAAAAUUUCGGGAUUUUUGGUUUGGGAUUUUUUUGGUUUGAGAUCGGGAUUUUUUUGGUUUGGUUUGGGAUUUUUGGGAUUUUUUUCCGGGUUCCUCAUGCCAGCUGCAAAACAAUUUCAGGAAUCAGCUAAAAAGUCAAAAAUAAAUAUAAAUAAAAGAAGAAACGGAACUUCCAACGCGGUGGGCUGCGACUUUGCCUGAUUCUGCUAUUUAUUUUAACGAAAAAUCAUAUUUUUACAUUAAAAAGUCAAUCAUGAUACUUUACCUUUUAUUUUAUUAUUAUCGUUAAAACUCAAAUUUUUCAAACUAUUUUCAUUAAUUUUUCUUUAAAAUAAUUUAUAAUGCAUAAAACCAGAAAUCUCAUUUUGAGUGAGAAGUUGCAUAAACAAUGUCAGGAAUCCGCUGAAAAGUAAAAAAUAAAUAUAAACAAAAGAAGAAACGAAACUUCCGACGCGGUGGGCUGCGACUUAGACUGAUUGAGAGUCAUGUAUCCGCAGCUCCUCCGUCUUCCUCCCAAACCUUUUACCUUUUCUUUCUUUCUUCUCCAAAACUAGCAAUCUGAGAUUUCAACCUCUCUCUCUAAGAAGCAGCGGCAUGCUUUUCCAAACGCAAUCUGCAAUUUAAUCAAACAGCCACCGAAUUUUCUGGAAUCCGGUCAACGCAGCGAUGCUCCGGAUUUUGAUCGGUCAACGCCAGCUGCUUACCUGAGCUCCAAAAGACCCAACAGUGAUGACGUCUUCCACCUCUGUUUCUGUUUGGCUGAUUCUGCUGUUUGGCUUCUUUCACCUCCACAAGCUUGCAGCCAAUGUCGAGGGUAUGUCUCUGUGUGUUAUUGAAUUUGGGAGUGUUUGGUUGUGGGAACUGGAAUGAACUAAUGAAUGAAUGAAUGACUGGAAACAUUCCCGAAGAGCUUGGGGGUUUGUCAGACUUGGUGAGCUUGGAUCUUUACUUGGCAACCUUGCAAAACUGCGUUUCCUGUAUGAACCCCCAUCCUUUUGUUAGAUAAAAUCUAUCGUCAUUCUUUUUUAUUCGAUAUGCUAAUCUGCUGUUUUUAAUUGUUCCAUUGGAGUGACUUUCUUCCUUAAAGUCCUUGUGCCGGAUGCAUAUAAUUUAUAGUAUGAUCCCUGGUUUCAAGAUUCAGUCAUUGCAAGUCCUGUGAGUUUCAUACACUUUCAUCUCAGUAAGAGGGAGGAGAGAGUGAAAAGUUACUAAUUUCUCUGCCAUCAGAGAAUGCAAAUAACAUAUAGUUUUGCCAUGGAAUGCAGGGAUCUUUCAAAUAACAAUCUGACAGGGGAUAUUCCAGUUAAUGGAUCGUUUUCACUUUUUACUCCCAUCAGGUUUGUUGAAGCAACUGUACUCUUUUUCUUUAACUUUAGGGACAAAAAUAACAAUCUGACAGGGGAUACACUUUCAUCUCAGUAAGAGGGAGGAGAGGGUAAUAUAGCUUGAUCAAGUUGGUGUUGUAGUUGUUGUAUGGGAUGCAGGUUUCACUCAUCUACUGUCUUUGCAGCUGAGAAGGAUCCACAAGUUCAUUCACGACAGCUCAAAAACUUUUCUUUGCGCGAGCUACAAGUUGCAACAGAUACCUUUAGCGACAAAAAUAUUAUUGGUAGAGGUGGAUUUGGUAAGGUUUAUAGAGGACGCUUAGCUGAUGGAACUCUGGUUGCUGUAAAAAGACUUACAGAGGAGAGAACCCAAGACGGGGAACUACAGUUUCAAACAGAAGUUGAAAUGAUUAGAAUGGCUGUCCACCACCGCAAUCUGCUUUGUCUCCAUGGUUUUUGCAUGACACCAACAGAAAGGCUGCUUGUAUAUCCUUAUAUGGCUAAUGGAAGUGUGGCAUCUUGUUUAAGAGGUACUCAUCUAAAUUGUUUGCUGCGUUGAUGAAUCUUUUUGUUUUCACGACGUUAAAUUUUUUUUCGAUCACAUUGAUAUAAUGAAUUUAAAAACCUGACCAAUUUGGCUUGGAGUAUCAACACUAAUUUUUUUAAUGUUUUGUUUCCUUCAAUUUUAAUUUACCUUCUCGAUGCUGAUUUUAUUUCUGUUUAAUUUGAAAAGGAUGACAAGAAGACCCUUUUUUUGGGUAGGACGGGUGGUAUGAUAUGUGUUAGACCACAUUACCUGUUGCUUGUAAUUUGAAAUUCUCCUCUCAUAAGUAUGUGGAUAUAUUAUUGUAGGUCGUCCGGAAGGACAACCUGCACUUGAUUGGCCAAUAAGACAACGCAUUGCAUUGGGAUCUGCAAGAGGCCUUGCUUAUUUACAUGAUCACUGUGAUCCAAAAAUUAUUCACCGUGAUGUGAAAGCAGCAAACAUAUUGUUGGAUGAGGAAUUCGAAGCAGUUGUUGGAGACUUUGGGUUGGCUAAACUCAUGGACUACAAGGAUACAUAUGUUACCACACAUGUAUGUGGCACAUUUGGUCAUAUGGCACCGGAGCACUUUUCAACUGGAGUGUCUUCCGAGAAAACUGAUGUUUUUGGAUACGGAGUCAUGCUUCUUGAACUCAUCACUGGGCAGAGGGCUUUCAAUCCUCAUCUUGCGAGUGAUGAUGAUGUCAUGUUAGUUGAUUGGGUAUGCAUUUACGUCUUUCUGUUUGUGUAUGUAGCUAGUUCAUUGUUAUAUGCAAGAUUAUUUCCCAACAACAUUUGCAUUUCCUUAGUAAUUAGCUUUUAGAAAAUAAGUUUGGUUUAAUUAGCUUUUGUUAGUUAGAGUUAUGAUUAGCUGUGUAGAUUUGUUUAUCUUUAUUUAUAACAAUCUAAGGUUUAAACUGUCAGAGAUUAAUUAUUGCAUUUCCUUAGUAAUUGUUACUAUUGUUGUUGCUUCUUUUGCCAAUGUAUUGGCAUUUUGUGAUUUCUUGAAGAAUUUGGCAUAUGUUUUGUGUCGAUCGUAAUUUCCUCAUCAUCUCCUUAUUCUCGCUAUCGUGGCCUCUUGCUUUUUCCUAUUCUCUCUAUUGCAUCUUUGUCUUCUCUUUGCAUGAUAUCAAUAUUUGAAUGACGAAACAUUUUUGUAAGCAGUUCGAUUUUCUGUAGAAAACUGCGGUCCUUCAAAUUUUGAACAUUACAACACGUUUUUGUUCUCCUAGGUUCCCGCACCUUUUGUUUCAAAUUGUAGAACCACCCGACAUUUUCUGUUUUAUUUUUCCUAAAAAAAUUAGGUCAAACGACUACUGAAAGAACGGAGGUUGGAAAGACUUGUUGAUGCUGAUCUAAAUGGAAAUUAUAUUGACGAUCAAGUGGAGCAGCUGAUCCAAGUAGCUCUACUGUGCACACAAGGCUCCCCAGGGGAACGGCCCAAGAUGUCAGAGGUUGUCCGAAUGCUUGAAGGCGAAGGCGAAGGUUUGGCUGAAAGAUGGGAGGAGCGGCAAAACGAGGAGGUGAUCUGCCAAGAUUUCAACACUAUUCAUCAUCCAAGUACUUGGAUCAUAGACUCACCCUCUCCUAAUUUUGUGUUGUACUAUUUCUUUGAGUUUGAAGAAAUGGAUAAAAAGAAUGACAUGUGAUAGAGAGUUCAUCAUAUAACUUCUGACUUUAAGGAUUUUUCAUUUAGUUCUGGUUCAUGUUGCGCAAAUAAUAUUAGGUAACACUGCUACUGGGGCUAUUGCUGGAGGGGUUGCUGUUGGUGCUGCUUUAACGUUUGCUGCAACUGCAAAUACACUUGCUUAUUGGCGACGGAGAAAACCACAGGAUCAUUUCUUUGAUGUACCUGGUUAGUGAACUAUAGGAGUAAUAUAGCUUGAUAAAGGUGGUGUUUUAGUAUGGGAUGCAGGUUUCACUAAUCUACUGUCUUUGCAGCUGAGGAGGAUCCAGAAGUUCUUUUAGGACAGCUCAAAAGGUUUUCUUUGCGCAAACUACAAGUUGCAACGGAUAACUUUAGUAACAAAAAUAUUCUUGGUAGAGGUGGAUUUGGUAAGGUUUAUAAAGGACGCUUAGCUGAUGGAACUCUGGUUGCUGUAAAAAGACUUAAAGAGGCGAGAACCCAAGGUGGGGAGCUGCAGUUUCAAACAGAGGUUGAAAUGAUUAGCAUGGCUGUCCACCGCAAUCUGCUUCGUCUGCAUGGUUUUUGCAUGACACCAACAGAAAGGCUGCUUGUAUAUCCUUAUAUGGCUAAUGGAAGUGUGGCAUCAUGUAUAAGAGGUACUCUUCUAAAUUGUUUGCUGCGUUGAUGAAUCUUUUUGUUUACACAUGGGUAAAUUGCAUUUUACACCCUCAGGUUUGAGUGUAAUUGCAACCUCAUACAACAUUUUAAAACAUUUCAAUUUUAUUUAUUUACUUAUCAUUUUUAGCAAUUUCAUACAUCUGAUAGUCAAACCGUCAGUUUGACUGUUAAGGGAUGACAUGGCAAAUGUGAGGUCUACAUUUUGUUGACGGGGAUGCCAACUAUGAUUCACGUGGAAUAAAAACAAAUAAAAAGGAUUAAUAAAUAGAAAAUUAAUUUUUUUUUAAUUUAAAACUAAAAAAAUAGAAAAGAUUAAAAAAAAAAAAUGGUGUUGUUCAUCCCUAUCCUGCUCUCACCCCGUCCCCGCAUUCUUCAUUUCCCCCCGCCCACCAUCGCCACCUUCCCUUUCCUCAGCCACUGCAAUGAAUAGACCACAUUACCUGUUGCUUGUAAUUUGAAAUUCUCCUCUCAUAAGUAUGUGGAUAUAUUAUUGUAGAUCGUCCCGAAGGACAACCUGCACUUGAUUGGCCAAUAAGACAACGCAUUGCAUUGGAAUCUGCCAGAGGCCUUGCUUAUUUACAUGAUCACUGUGAUCCAAAAAUUAUUCACCGUGAUGUGAAAGCAGCAAACAUAUUGUUGGAUGAGGAAUUCAAAGCAGUUGUUGGAGACUUUGGGUUGGCUAAACUCAUGGACUACAGGGAUACACAUGUUACCACAGCUGUACGUGGCACAAUUGGUCAUAUAGCACCAGAGUACCUUUCAACUGGAAAAUGUUCCGAGAAAACUGAUGUUUUUGCAUACGGAGUCAUGCUUCUUGAACUCAUCACUGGGCAGAGGGCUUUUGAACUUGCUCGGCUUGCGACCAAUGAUGAUGUCAUGUUACUUGAUUGGGUAUGCUUAUACGUGUUUCUGUUUCUGUUUGUUGCUAAUUUUCUGUUUUCCUUAAUAUGUUUCAUAUUUUAUUAAAAAAAAAAGACAUAAUGUUGUUGAAAUUCAACGAUCUAUUGUGUCUCUUUGUCCAAAUCUUGGAAAUUAUGUUUCAAUACUCAUUUUUAAAGAAAUGUUAUAUAAUAUAGUGUGAAUUAGGUGUAUCUCUCGAUACCAAUGUUGCUAUUUAUUUAAGCCAAAAAUAAUGGGUCUCGACACCUAAUCACUUUAUUUCAAACCGCUAAUCUCAUAUGACAUUCUUAAUCAUUGUAUAUGGAACAUUUAAAAACCUAUUACUCAUCAUAGAGCUGCCAAGUUCCUCUCUAAUUAAUGUAAAAAUCACUUAGUCUUUUUUGGCCCGAAUAUUGAAAACAAUUAGAAUCAUGGAUCAAAGAAAAGAACUAAUACUUAACUUUUAGAAAAUAAUUUUAGUUUAAUUACCUUUUAUUAGUUAGACUUACGAUUAAACUGUGAAGAUUUAUUUAUCUUUAUUUAUAACAAUCUAAGAUUUAAAUUGUCAGAGAUUAAUUAUUACAUUUCCUUGGUAAUUGUUGUUAGUAUUGUUGUUGCUUCUUUUGCCAAUGUAUUGGCCUUGCGGUGAUUUCUUGAAGAUUUUGGCAUGUGUUUUGUAUCGAUCCUAAUUUCUUCAUUAUCUCUUUAUUCUCGCUAUCUUGGCCUCUUUCUUCUUUCUAUUCUCUGUUUGCAUCCUUGUCAUAUGUUUGCAUCAUAUCAAUAUUUGAAUGACGAUGCAUUUUUGUAAGCAGUUUGAUUUUAUGGAGAUACUGCAGCCCUUCAAAUUUUGAACAUUACAACACAUUUUCACUCUCCUAGGUGCCCUCACCUUUUGUUUCAAAUUGUAGAACUAUCUGAUUUUUUUCCUUUUUAUUUUAACUAAAAUAAUUAGGUCAAAGGACUACUGAAGGAUCAGAGGUUGGAAACAAUUGUUGAUGCUGAUCUACAUGGAAAUUAUGUUGACGAUCAAGUGGAGCAGCUCAUCCAAGUAGCUCUGCUGUGCACACAAGGCACCCCAGGGGAACGACCCAAGAUGUCAGAGGUUGGCCGGAUGCUGAAAGGUGAUGGUUUGGCUGAAAGAUGGGAGGAGUGGCAAAAAAAGGAGGUGUUCCGCCAAUAUUUCAACCCUAUUCAUCAUCCAAGUACUAAUCGGAUCAUAGACUCAACUUCUCAUGGUCCUCUAGAUGAGUUGUCCGGUCCUAGAUGAUAUGCUCGUUGGUUCCGUCCCCUUGUAUACAUGUAAGAAGCCUCAGAGGACUAGAGAAGGUCCAUUUUGUAUUUCAGUGAUACCACAUUUGUGCGAAUGUUUUGUCUUUGUUUUCGAUUUUGUUUUUGUGUCGCUUAUUUUUAAGAUCACAAAAAUGGAGCUGGUGCUGUUGUAAUUUUUAUAGGGUUAACUGGCAUUACGAAGUUAUAUUGUGCUAGCAGGAAUCAGGAAGGUCCAUAAAAGCACCCAUUCCUAAUGAUUUAUGUAUCUUUCCAACAAUUAGUCCAGAUUGUCGAGUAAAUAAUCUUUCUGAACUUAUAACUAUCUAUAUUUUUUAGUGUUCUUAUAGAUCCUAUAGAUACAUCCUAUAGAUACGAUAAGGGCAUUAGGUCAAGUGCAUGGGUGCUUGUGGACGGAUAGUGUUUGAAAUUUCAUUGUGAUCAUUGCAAGUGCAACUUUGUGGCGCUACCCUUAUAAGCACUUGAACUAAGGCAUUAGGGGAUCUAGAGAUCACUUUGUGUCACUCCAACAUGGGAAUUCGAGUUGUCUAUCCUCUUUAGAGAAUCGCCAAUGGAGACCCAAACCUAAAUAUUUGGGUUUAAACAAAAUAAAAAUGGAAUCUAACGGUGGGACUUUUUUUGUUUUUUUGAACAAAAAAUAUUAUCUACAUUAAAGGGGUAGGGGAUUAUGUUAAUCCUUAUAGUGAACAAAAAAUUACUAUUUAAUAUUUUAUAUAUUUAUUCAAAAUUUUAUAUUAUUAUAUCACUAUUUUAAUAUUUUCUUUGUGAUAUAUUUUUAUUUUUUUAUUAAUAUUUUCGGCCUGUGGGGUCCACAAUCACCCAGGCUCUUCUCUCAUUUUCUGCCAUGUGUUUUGUCUCCUCCCUCACUCCACCUCUCCCUCUCUCCCAUAAGACUCAUUUCCUCUCUCCUUCGGUGAAACCCAAUGACGCCGAAACCACCACCACCUUGCCGAUGCGACUCCAGCGGGUUACUCCACUUGAUGACCCAGGCUAGCACCACCUUCGUCAUUUUCUCCCCCUAUGUCGAACCAGCACCACUCACUUUCUUCCCCGAGGCCAUUGUUCACAUUUUUCUUUUUCGACAACAUUCAUGGCGAGUUCUCGUCGUUCAUGACAAAGGUAAGGUUCGAAAACCCUCAACAUCUUCGUAGAUUGUGUUUAUGAGUAUGACGAGGAUGUUCUUAAGAUGUUUUAGUGCUGGUUUGACGUAGAAAUACCCCAAGAGUAACAAACCCAGUGUUCCGGCAGAGAUCUGGCGGCUUUCGAGCCAUUUUUUGGCCAACUCCGGCCAAGACCAAGGAAACCAAAGGUAUAUUCCAAUUCCUUGAUCCGAAUCUGAACUCGGGAUCCGGCCCGAUCUGUUCUAAAUUGUAUAUGAAAUAUUCCAGAAUAUUCCCUGUGUUGACUUUUAAGAAAUUUUCUCAGAAACCCUCAUAGGCUAAUUUUGACGUCCCAAGUCCAUUUUUGACAUCUAUUUAGGAAAAUCAUGAAGUUUUAACAUAGUUGACCACCAAGGCGUCUCGUUGACAUUUUAGGGUUGACCGUUCACAUUUCGUUGACUUUUUACAAAAUUUGCAUUUAACCCCUCUUAGCGUAUUUCGACACUCUGAUUCUAAAUUCGCACUCCGUUUUCUCAAAUUUGAUCGUUUAAGUUGAGUUUUACUAAUGAGUCCUAAUAUUAUACUUUGGUGCGAUUACUAUCGGAGACUCCGACUUUCUUAGCUUGAAAGGAUGUGACAUCGCAGGUACUUGUGAGUGGGUCUUUUCUUUUAUAUAGUGUGUAUAUAUAUAUAUAUAUAUAUAUAUAUAUUUGUUAGUUUCCAUUUAUAUAUUUGGUAAAGAAUUUUCUAAGUUACACCUAUAUUAGGGUAACGUAUAUAAAAAUUAACGUAUUGACAGAAUUCAUGUAAUUAUACUACGUUCUAUGGGAUACACAGGUAUGCGUAUUAGUAUGGAUGCUUUAAUGGUAUUUACGGUUAUGAAUAAUAUUCCAUUGACUAGGGUUAUUGAAUUAUCGCAUUAUCAAUUUACCAUUGCAUGAUCAUAUUUGUGUUAUUUACUCAUCGUGUGCUGCACUGGUGUUAGUACUUGCCCAGGCCAGGGCCAAUCUUUCACGUGUAUGUUCACAUCGCACUGUACGCUUAGUUUGGAUCCAUUGUAGGUGUAAUCCUAUCCUAGAUUGCGAUAGGCAAUUAGGACUCAUAUGUGAGGCACUUAGCGCUAGCCUUCACGUGAUUGUAGUACUAGAGCGUAAAUCAUUGCUUACACCCAGUCAUGUUCAUGUCAGAAUACCUCUGCAUGAACUCGUGUAUCAGCAUAUGUCAAUGAGCACUCGAUGUGAUAUGUUUAUUUCUGCGAGAUAUUGUGAUUACUAUAAGUUAUGUACCUAUUUAUGAAUUUUGUGACGUAUUGAAUUCUUAAGAUUUUGCAGGCUACAGUAAGUAUUUUCAUACUAUACGUAGUAUGUAAAUUUUGGAAACUAUACUUGUUUUACGAUAAGGGGUUAUAAUGUUUUCAAAAAGCUUUUUAUAAAACUUUAUUUUAGGCCCACUCACCCUUGUUUUUCUCCCCUCUAAGAUUUAGUGGCAAUGUUCGUGUCGACAAGGAUUUCUAGCAAACGCUGAUAUCAGAGACUACUUCUGAUGGUAUAAUUCUCAAUCUACUCUAUUGUACUUUACUUAUACUCUGACAUCACAUGUGAACUAGGUUGAUUCCCGCUCACUAACGCACUCUUAUACUUAGGCACUUUUAGAUUUAAAUUUAUUUCCAUUUUCCAAAUCACUAUAUUUUAUGGCUUCGUCACUCUCCUGGUGUCGACCAGCACACCUCGAUUCGGAGCCUAAGUAGGCAUUCCGGGUCAGGGUGUGUCAGUUUGGUAUCAGAGCAUAAGUUUGGUCAGCAUUGCGUUCAUCACACGCGUGCUGUAAGCAUUCUUGGUUCUUGAACCUAAUUGUCGAAUCUUGUCACCUCGUCGAAUACAAAAAAUGUGUUAGCUUUUCUUGAGUUAUGGGUUACUUAGACGACUUAUUGACAUGUUAGAAGAAUACUUUGGCGACCACCUCUAAACUUUAAGCGAAGGAUUUUCCUGCCAAGGAAAUAUGUAGAUUUGAGACAAGUUGAUGGCCCUGAAGCAGGGCUACUAUAUCGAUAGUUGUGCAUCACGAGAGAUUUACCAACCAAAUCCACUACCAUCUGGUCAUUUCUACCAACCCUUUUAAGUUAGAAAACCAUAAACAGUUUUGAUUCCUUGGCAUUACCCGUUAGUAUACCACAUAUCAGAAUUCCUGUGAAGUUUUAGUUUUUGUCAAAAUUUCCAAAAAUGUCCCGAAUGACAAUGUGGUGCUAAAAGGGUAGCAUUCGACAGAAGAACAUCUAGGGGAUAAUCACUUUUGUUCCCUGAUAACACUAAUCUUCUUAAGCGCACUGGUUAUCAUUUCGGAUCCUCAGGAGGAAGAUCGAUUUCCAUUUAGGUUAUUAACAAAUUUCUUUUCCGGUGUGGACCCCACCAUUGACAUUUGGUCAACAGGUCUUGAACCAUUUGAAUUACUAAAAUUAGUAUUACUAGAGACUCAGUGAAGCUUUGCUGACUUGUCUCGGUGAGUGACUUUAAUAUAUGUGAUAUGGUGAUUACCCGAUUCUUUAUAUUACUAUCCUUUGUGGAUAUGACAUGGUUUUAUAAAUGUGUUUUCUGUUAAAAUGUGAUUCUUUUAUAAUUGGCCAUCGAUCUAUUUUUAUUAAAUGUGAUUUGAUUCAUGGAUUGGUAAUAUUUGUGAAAAAGUGAUUCGAAUUGCAUAUUGAAAUGUUUUGUAAAUUGAGGGCUAGUAGAGGACUAUGACCCUGCUUGGUUAAUCCGCAUUGGGGGGUCAUUAGUGGUCCUGCUUGGUUAAUCCGCAUUGAGGGACCAUACUAUAUAUGGAUCGUGCUUGGUUAAUCUGCGUUGGGCGAUCCUUAUGGCCAUUUAUACUUAGGGGUGAUCAUGCUUGAUUAAUCCGCUUGGUUAAUUCGCAUUGGGGGGGGGGUGAUGAGUUCAUAUUAUACUAUAUAUUUCACCCUAUUCUUAGUAUUAAUUUAUUGAUUAUUUUGGUAGAAUUUUGAUACUUUGUUUUAUAUUUUCAACAUAGGAUAUUCAAUUUCCUCUGGAACAAAACUUGACCAAAUGGACGAAAUUUCGAGUGAUUCAAAUUGGAGGACGUUCGUGUGUUGUUUGUGUCAAAAUAUCAGAAAUUUCUACCAAGCGGUUAUUUUCUGGAGAUUAAAUGAAGGAGCAGUGCGCAUUGCUGGAAAGUGACAUUUCUGGGCUUAAACUACAUUUUUGGAGCCCGAGAUGACUUCGGCUGGAGAAGUGUUCAGAAUAGUCCAAACUUUAGAUCCAGCUAUUUUGGGCCAGUUUAGGAUUAUAUUUCCUAUUUUAUUUCUAUUUAUUACGUUUCCUGGUUUUAUUCUAAGACCUUUUAGGGUUUUAUUUUGUAUUAGUAUAAAUAAGGCUUUUUAGCCAUUAGGUUAAGAAAUAGGGGAGAGAACGCACACAUUUUGGCUUUAGAGAGCUUUUGACGAAUCAAGUGUAUUUUCAAGGUGUUUUCUAUCCAUGUUUUUAAUAAUAUUUUAUUUUAUGAUUGUUUGUAAUUAGUUUUGUUUGCUAGGGUGAGGCCACGAGCCUUAGCAAAAAUAUGUAUUUUUUUUUUCAAUUUGCUUAUAAUAUUAUGCAUGCAAGUUUUGAAUUAUUAACCACUGUGCUUUAAACUAUCUAGUUGUCUUGAUGAUUGGCCACCAUUAGGAUAUUUAGAAAAGUAAUUUGAUGCAAUUUUGGUGGAGGGCUGUCCCUGGAAUUGGCGUUGGCUUCUUGUGGUUAAUAUGUGUAACCUCUUAGGAUGGACGACAUGUUUUAAGGGUUAUAUGGUUUUUCAAAAGGUUUUCACAAAACUUAAUGAGUCUUGCAUGUUCACAUUCGAUCUGGACGCCACAGACGGGUUUCAAGUAGGGCAUACUUUAGGAAAACCUAACCUUCAAAAUAUGCAUGGGUAAUUCAUAAGUAAUUGAAAGAACUACGUAGAAUUGUUAAGGUGACAACGGAACCCUAGUGCUCAAAUUUAUUUUCAAAACUAUUUUCUUUUGUUUUUUUUUAUUACUUUGCCAAUUUAUUUAAUUUUUUUUAAUAAAAUUCAUUUUUAAUAUUUUAGGUCAUAAAAUCAACCUCUUCUAAAUUUUGUUUUCAAAUCAUUAAUUAAGAUUUGGUUUUAACAUAAAUUAUUCAUUCAAUCCCUGUGGAGAUCGACCUUACUUGAGCUGCUAUACUAUGACAACCUUGUACUCUUGCAAGUAUUUUUAAAUGUUUUUAUCUCUAAUUUUGCAGGUGGUAAAAAUCCCUACCAGAGGGUCACUAGUGGUCUUGCUUGGUUAAUCCACAUUAGGGGACCAUACUAUAUGUAAAUCGUGCUUGGUUAAUCCACGUUAGGCGAUCCUUAUGGCCAUGUAUGCUUAGGAGUGAUCAUGCUUGGUUAAUCCGCAUUGGAUGAUCACUUCCUAACAGCUGUAGGAGUGACUCUGCUUGGUUAAUCCGCUUUGGGGGGGUCACUGCCUACUUGGUUACUUUCUCAUGGGUGGCUUUGCUUGGUUAAUCUGUUUUGGGAGGCCACUUCGUGUUUGGUUACUUAUGUAGGCUUCUGCCGAACUGCGUCCCUCUAGCCCUAGUUUUUAAUGUACAUAUGAACGAUGGUUUUUGAGAAUCUUGGUGGUUUGAAUGGGAAAAGCCAUUGGAUGUUUGGGUGACUCAUUCGGAGUUGUUAGAGACUUGACUAUGUUUUCAUAUUUACAAACUUAUAUUUGAGGUUUAUAAACUGUGAUUGAUGGUCUUUCUUUUUAUUGAUUAUCACAUACUUGUAUUAUUGUCACUCACCCGAUUUUACAUAUGACAGGCCUGGGUAGAUUAUGAGAAACCGCUUGAUAUUUUGGUUUCAUUGAGUAAUCCGGAACCCGGUGUCGUUGGAUUCCGUUGAGUGAUUCGAAAUCCUUGUUCUCGCUCAUUCCCAUAAGGUUAGUCUAGAACCCUAGAUUUGAGUGAAUGAAAAUUACCCACAAUAGACCUUGUGAAUAUGAAAUAGAUUUACCAUGUUAUUACUGAUAAUCCAAGUAGAAAAUUAUAUAGAGUUCCUUGGUUAAAUUUGUGAAAUGAUAUGUUAUUGCAUUCAUUGAUUAGCAUAUUUAAAUGCUAAGAUCAUGUAUCUUUGAUUCAUGAAUUGAUUGAUUGACGGAAUUGUGGAAUGACUUGGUUAUGGUUGUUAUUAUUUUGAUUAUUUUAGUUGAUCAAUGUGGCUUGAGAAUAAUAUGUGCUUCGUUGGUUAUUUGAUAUGUUACAUGUUGUGGAUGGAAGUAUCGUGCUGAAAACAUAGAAUUUAUAUGAUGGAUGGAAUGAGAAUCUUGAACGGCAUGUUGGUUUGUUUUGUAGCCAUGAACUUGGUAAUGUCAUGCAUGUCAAGUUCUAAUAAUUGAUUACAGAAUGCUAUGUAUUCCUAUUAGAACGCACUGGAAUAAAUGUCUAAAUUAGUGAACGAUGAACUACGAACGGCUUGAUCCCUAAUGAGGGUACGUAGGCAAUCUAACGAGGAGGUUAGAUGCAGCCAUAAAGUAUACGAAAAAUUACUAUGCGAUUCAAUUCUCAAGUUGUGAUUUGCCAUAUCCCGGAGGCGGGGUAUGUUGAGAUACGGGUAUUUGGUGACGUCACAUGUCGAUCCUGAACAUAUGUUGGGAUCGGGGCGUGACAUUUUUGAUCACUUCCAUAGGUAGACAGUAGAAUCAAAGUACGAGUUAAUUUCUUGCUAUUAAAGUGAAUUGAGUAUCGAGAAAACUAUGAAGACCUUUUAGUUCAUGUCGUAGAGUUGGGAAGUAGUAUUGUACGUUUUGAUGACGUAUAUCCAAGUGUCUAUUUCAAAAAUUUACCUGAGAUAUCACCAAAUUGUGAAGUAAGAUACACUAUCAACCUAUUUUCUAAUACGACACCUAUUAUCCUUGCAUCUUAUCGAACGACUCCUUUGACUUGAGAAACUUAGUUACAAAAGCUUAUCGAUUAGGAAUUCACCCAACCAAACACUUUAUCUAGGGAACCCUAAACCUAUCCAAGAAGACAAUAGGUUGAACCUUAAAACUGUAUCUAGAUUUUAGCAACUCUAUCGAGUGACAUUUAACUCCGUUAUACCAUACUUUGAAUUUAUGGUCUAUCCAACCAACCUCUGAGCCCAAGUUUUCUUCCGUAGCUUGUCAAAUUCGUAGUGGUUUUACCGAUGACUUUCUCACCUACCGUAGCAACGGGAGCAAAUUUUCUAAACACUGACAGUCAGCUUUAUACCAAAUUCCUCAAAUAUUACCUUUGUUUUAGAUUUCUUGGGAGACGUGAUCUCAACAGAGACGUUCUUGUCAAUUUCCAAAAAGGUUGCACAUGAAGAAGAUUUCAUAUUCCACAAAUCGUUGUGAAUAAUGCGAUAUCCUUGGCCUUGUUGGUUAUAUCGACAUUUCGUUAGUAACUUUUCAGCAGUGGUGUUUUUCCUUGCAAGUUGACCGAGGAAAAUCAGUUUAACUGAGAUGUGGAAUAUGAUUACAGUUGUGACAACUGAGGUGUUGUCUAUUUCUUACCCUUGUUCGUACACCUUUCGAUAACAUUGAAUGAUUUGGCUGCAUACUGAUAGAAUAUGACGAAGUAUUGCUUAUGUUUCCCAACGGUUGAAACCAUAUAAAGUGAACUAACUUACUAUUGACCUAGAGUCAACAAUUACCAUCUUUCCUUGAAACUGGAUGACACUUCUCUAUGGAGAAUCUUGUCCAAAAUCUGUACCAACCUUAGACUUCUCAAAUACAUCUUCAUUUGUAAUGAGCUAAAUUUCUGACAGUAGUGAUGGACGAACUAAAUCAACGUUUACGAUUACACUAUCGUGUAUUACCCUGGUUGUGUAAACGUAAUUACUGUUCACCGUAGUAAAAGAUGUAUCUACCCUUGAACAUUUUCAACCUGUCCUAUUCCAACUCAUUUGGAAUUCAUGAGUAUUGUUAUGACGUGACUUACGAAUCCUCAAGAAAUCGUUCGAGUGGUUAUAAUCACUUACUGUAUUUGAAUAGAGAUGAGAAAUAUCACCAUAAGUUCCUAGUACGAGGUAUUUUGUACAUGUGGAUAUUAUGAUAAUGUUUCGAUGAUUAUCUAUCAACUUGACAAGUCAGCUCACCUUCUGUUGGUCGAGAAGAACUACAUUUUAGACCACUUAUCAAAAUUUCUCAUUCUUGAACUUAUUAGACUUUUUGACGUUUUGAUCAGCAUCUAAUCUAACUGUGAUUCCCUAUUCACCAUCUUGGGCUGGAAAGCAUUCCAAUCAACCUUAGGUACGUCUUACCCUACAACACUUUGUAUUAUUUCUUAAGCAAAUAGAUUGUUUAGAUGAACCGCUGACAUUGAAGUUUUAGUUAUGACCAUUAACUCCUCAAUCACCUAACAAAUACUUUACUGAACGAAUCUUUACCAUUAGUGAUUGAAUAUUCUGAAAGCUACCGUUGUAGUGAGAUAUUAUGCAUUCAAUCCAGCCAUCUUGUACUCUAGAUUCGAUGAACUUGUUUUGACCCUCAAAUUCUUGAGUGUUCAUUUAGCCUUUUCGGCGUAAUGUUUCACUAAACCCGAGUGGAAAUUCAUAAUGAAUCUACUUGCUGAGGCAUAUGUGAAUUACAGUGUUUGGUUGCAUAGUGUGCAUGACACUACUGUAUCUUAUUAUGAUGCGCAUUUCGCUUCCAAGUUUUGGGAAGCCUUCUUGAAGGCCAUGCGUAUUAAGUUUUGUCACAUACCACAUUUCACCCUCAGACUAACGGUCAGUCUGAAUGAACUAUUCAGACCUUAGAUAACAUAUUUCUUUUGUAUGUUUUAUAGUUUUAACUGGUUAUGUUAGACACCUAUCUUUGCUUAUGUUGCGUACGACGAUAGUUAUUAUUAUGGUUUGGCUAUAGUAUUGUUUAAGCUGUGAUAUAGAGAUUUUACGCACGGAACAUGUUUGACAGACGAGUAUUGCGAACAAGUAUUCGAAUGAUCAGGAUUAAGAUGUAGCAAACUAUGAGAUAUUGACGAUGUCGCCGAAGAGGGUCAUGCGUGAAUGCAAUCAAGGCGUUAAUCAGAUGAUUUAUGUGUAUUUCCCAAUGAGGGGCAAGAUGGUAAUAUUGCACCCUCAUGAAUUAUUUGCUUGGUUAUUGUGACAACACCGUAAUAUUGAUAACUUAUUUAUUGUUUGGACUUGACCCAAAGAUACUACACUUAUUCUCGGAUUACGUGACGCUACAAGUGCAUAGGUGACAUUUUUCUAUGUUCAGUUUUGAUUUCAGUACAACUAUCUUGAUUCUACGUUAUUGUGUAUAUGUAUUUUAAUUUGACGUUAUGUUUAUAUAUAUAUUACCUUAUGUUUUUAUAAAAUAUAAUAUUAUAGUAUUGUGCUGAAGGAGAAGGAAAGUAUGAGUUUGGAGCCAUAAAAUAGGAAUCAUUGCACACCUAUCGCGACAGAAUGACAUUCUCUUUUAUGCAACCGCUCUAGCUUGAAUUCUUCUUUAUAUAUUUUCCUUCUGUCUUGAGUAUUUUAUGUUUAGCAACUUAUUUCAAAUUUUGGGGACAAAAUUUUUUUUAAGGGGUGUAUAUUGUGACAACUCGUCCCUACUUUUAUGAUUUUAUUAAUUUUAAAAGCGUGAAUUGGCAAAAAUGCUCUAGCUUGAAUUCUUCUUUAUAUAUUUUCCUUAUGUCUUGAGUAUUUUAUUUUUAGCAACUUAUUUCAAAUUUUGGGGACAAAAUUUUUUUUUAAGGUGGGUAGAUUGUGACAACCCGUCCCUACUUUUAUGAUUUAAUUAAUUUUAAAAGCGUAAAUUGACGAAAAUGCCCAAGAGGCGAGAUUAUUGACUUUCGUUGAUCGUUGUUUGUGACACGUAUGAGUUAUUACUUUACCGUACCCUUGAAGUACUCGAUGGUAAAAACGCAUAGGCGCAAGCGGAAUCGAAUUUGGAGCAACGAUGAAAAUUUUAUUGAACAAUGAAUCCGAAAAAUACUUUUGUAAAAAUUACUAUUUUAUAUUUUAUAUAUUUAUUCAAAAUUUUAUAUUAUUAUAUCACUAUUUUAAUAUAUUUCUAUGGGAUAUUUUUUAUUAUUUUAUUAAUAUUUUCGGCCCAUGGGGCCCACACUCACCCAAGCUCUCAUCUCAUUUUCUGCCAUGUGUUUUGUCUCCUCCUUCUGUCCUGUAAGACUCCCCUUUUUCUCUCCCUUGGUGAAACCUAGUGACACUGGAACCACCACCACCACCACCACCUUGCCGUUGCGACUCCGGCGAGUUACUCCACUCGAUGACCCAGGUUGGCACCACCUUCGUCGUUUUCUCCCCCCUCCAUGUCGAACGAGCACCACUCAUUUUCUUCCCCAAGGCCACUGUUCACGUUUUUCUUUUCUGACGACAUUCAUAGCAAGUUCUCGCUGUUCAUGACGAAGGUAAGGUUCGAAAACCCUCAAUAUCUUUGAACACCCUCAAUAUCUUCGUAAAUCCCGUCCCUGAUUUUCACUAUUGCAAAUUACGUAUGUGUAUUAAGGAGUUAUUAUAUUAUUUUUGGAAUUUAUAUUAAUUGUAGAGUGUUGAGAUUGUGUAUUCAAAAGAUAUCAAUGUGAAAAAGCUACAAUUAAAAAGUUGCCCUUAAUUAAUUAAGGAGAGGAAAAAAAAGGGAACUUUAACGAAAAGCUCCCGGUACUGUUCAUUUUAACGAAAAACCACAUUUUUACACUAAAAAGUCAAUCCUGGUACUAUUCACUUUACCCUUUAUUUUGUCCUUAUCGUUAAAACUCAAAGUUUUCAAGCCCUUUUCAUUAGUUUUCCUAAAAAAAAAAGAAAAGGAAUUUGGGGAGAGAAAUGAAGGAGGCUUGGCCAACGGGAAGGCGGGAGAGAAAGAAGGCUGCCAAUGAGAAAAAAGGAAAGGAGGAGGAAAGAGGGGAGGGGAGGGACACCAGAUUCCCUGCCCAAUUGUCUUUUCCGACCUGAACGCGUCAUUGCUACCACUUCCGACGGGUUUUCCGUCCAUUUUUUGGCGAUCCACCAUUUUUGAAAUAAUGUUCUUCAAUUACCACCACAAAGACACUCAUCUAGAGGUCAGGAAAAAAGCCCAAGCAAGAUUGGGGGUGUUGGAGUUCGAAUUGAGGACGAAUCAAAUGACACCCAUUUCAAGGGUUCCGGCGGAUCGAGGCAAAAUUGAAGGGUUCCCCGGCAAAAUUGGACCUCGGCCCAGGUAUGAAAAUUUCUCCCCGCACUGAUAUCUACAUGCCUGUAAAGUUUGGUAAUUUUUGGAAAUAGUUGAAUUUUCGGCAAGUCGGGGCUGCCGACCGCCACCCGCGGCGGCGGCCUGCCCAGUGGGCCGACGAUGUCCUUUUAAGUUCAAAUAGAUGCCUUGAUUUCAUAAUUGAUAUCCGUAUGACGUAAUUUGAUUGUUUGGACUUAGUUUCAUUACGAUACCUCAUGUUGAUGCACAAAACCGGAGGUUUUGGGACAAUAUAAAUCCGAUCGUGAAUCUGCAAGUAAUGUAAGUAACACAAGAUGUAUCGUGGUUCACCCCAAUGUUUGGGCUACGUCCACACUGAUUAUUGAAUUUCUUUAAGAUGCUGAAGAGGGAGAAAGAGAGUUUCUCUGUGAGGAUGAGAGCUCUGAGAGGGUGAAGGUACGGCCUAAGAAAUGGCCUCCCUUCAUGAAGAGAGUGAGGGGUCCUUUUAUAGAAUAAGGGCUCCUCACUUAUUACAUAUUUGCCCUUUAUUUAUUACAUAAUUACAUUUGAGUCCCCCGAGUAUUUAUACGAGAUCUAAAAACGGAGGCCCUAAGUAUGGUAUAAACAGUAAUCCCCCAAGUCUUCAGUCAAGAUAGUCUUUUGGCUGGAGACUUGAAAUUCAGUCCAUGUGUGGACCAAAGUAACUAGACAUCGUCUAGGACUGAUACUCGAUAUGAGGCGGUGCUCAAUCUGAAAUGAUGCUCAACUAGAAGUAGCACAUGUUGCGAGGCUGCUUGGCUUGUGGCUUAUGUUGUCUUGGUUGGCUUGGCUUGUGGCAUUGAAGGUAAGGGAGUCCCUUUUAUAGAAUAAGGGCUCGCUCCUCAAUACAUGAAUGAUAGGCUAGAGUUGAUGCUCGCGGCGAGGGCAUUGCUCAGCUGGCGACGAUGCUCUCUAAUGAUGGUGAGGGAGUCUCUUUUAUAGAAUAAGGGCUCGCUCCUCAAUACAUAAGUGAUGAGUUAGGAGUGAUGUUCCCGGCGAGGCGAUUGCUCAGCUGGCGGCGAUGCUCUCUAAUAAAGGUGAGGGAGUCCCUUUUAUAAAAUAAGGGUUCGCUCCUCAGUACAUGAAUAAUGGGUGCUUUCUAAUGAAAGUGAGGGAGUCCCUUUUAUAGAAUAAGGGCUCGCUCAUCAGUACAUAAAUAAUGGGCUAAGUCCCCCAAGUAUUUUUCAUGAGGCCCAGUUGAGGCCCAAUAAAUGGUACAUAAUGUAGUCCCCCAAGUCUUCGGUCAAUAGAGUCUGUUGGUUGGACACUUCAAAUUGAAUCCAAGUAUGGGCUGAAGUGGCGGUUGUUCGGAGGCGGUAUUUGUAUACCCUGCACUGAAGCUUUGUAGGUGAAGCUUUGCAAGUGAAGCUUUGAAGCUAGAGCUCUGUAAAUGAAGCUUUUAAAGCUAGAGCUCUAUAAAUGAAGCUUUUGAAGCUAGAGCUUUGUAAAUGAAACUUCUGAAGCUAGCGCUUUUGUGAAUGAAGCUUUUGAAGCUAGAGCUCUGUAAAUGAAGCUUUUGAAGCUGAUUGACAUGAGUGAUGGUCAUGAAUGUUUAUGUUGAUUGACAUGAGUGAUGCUCAUGGAUGUUGAUGAAUGAUGGUCAUGAAUGUUUAUGUAUGAUUGACAUGAGUGAUGUUCAUGAAUGUUUAUGUAUGAUUGACAUGAGUGAUGCUUAUGUAUAAUUUUGGAGUACUGGAUGUACUUUUGAUCACCUGAUUGGUGAUAAUAGCGGCAGGCUGCCAAAUAAUUUUGGAGUACUGGGCGUACUUUAGAUCACCUGGUUGAUGAUAAUAGCGACAGGUUGCCGAAUAAUUUUGGGAGUACUGGGCGUACUUUAGAUCACCUGGUUGAUGAUAAUAGCGACAGGUUGCCGAAUAAUUUUGGGAGUACUGGGCGUACUUUUGAUCACUUGGUUGGUGAUAAUAGCGGCAGGUGCCGAAUAAAUUUGGAGCCAUAGGGCCUGGCUCUUUUGGGCAUAUGGGCAUUCGCCCUCCACAUGACAUUGCAGCCCACUAUUUUGGGCUUGCCCUUUUUUUUUAAAAUUUUUUUUAUUAUUACCCUCUGAUGGGGUUUAUAUAGAUGUCUCCGAAAGAUAAGAAAAAUAAAUUAUAUCAUUCAAAAAUAAAUCUCACCCUCUGCUCAAUGGGUUAUGCCCAUAAUUCCCUUUUCUGCAUGCCAUCACCACCGCAAUUAUGUCUGCUUCUUUUUAUCUUCUUUUGCUUUCUGCUUUUUACUUUCUGCUUUUCUUUUGCUUUCGGCCUGGUUGGUGCUAAGACCUUGUAGUGGGAUGGCAAACAGCUUGGCAUCAUUAUGUCUGAAUUCCUUUAUCAUCGUGGUGCCGAACCACUUUCCAGUUGUGUGUUUAAAGGAACCUGUUUUACCUUCACUGCUUUUUGACCAUACUUCCUCCAUCUAUACCCAAUUGAAGUAAUGAUUACUCCCCUGGAGCCGAUACUAGACCGGUUGAGUCAUUCUGGGAGGCAGCGGAAUGUUGACGUCUGCAACGUGCGGACCGAAGCCCAAAUGCGACGUCGUUUGGCCUGCCACCAGAAGAAGAAACAAACCGAGCAAAACAUUGAAACUCACCAGAGAGAUCGCCGGAGUCAGAGCUUAAGAGAGUAAACACCCAUGAUCCAUGUGAAGAGAGUGAGAGAGUGAGAGCAUGAGAGAGUAAACUCAUCCAAAUUAGAGUAAACUCACACAACUCCGGCCACAGAGUCGUACUCUUCCAUACCAACAUUUCCAUUUCCAACACUACCCUCCACGUUCUUCUUCACCCUCCCUGCAAUCACACGGCACACCAACAUUGCCCUCUUGUCACCCUCCUUCGUCGCCACCACCGCUUUAUCAUGAGCUCUGCUGCUUGUCGCAGUUGUCAAAAUACCCAGCUCCGUCAACUCCCCAGAGAACUUGUUGAAGCCGUUUUUUAUAAUGAUGCAAACAUUGCAGUGUGGGAUUAAGUUACUUGGAGAGCUUGGUGGCAAAGGUGGUGUAGUGGAAACGGAUGAGCUCGUUGCCGUCAGCGAUGCAGCGGGGGUGUUUCUUGGAGAGCUUGGUGGCUUUUACUUUGAUGGAGUCUCUAUACUCUUUGAAUUUGGUGAUGGUAUCUUGGGUGUUAUGGACUUUAAGGAUGCGGUCGAUUUUGUAGAUUGGGGUUCUUUUUUCAGCCAGCUGGACUGGAAUAUGAUCUCCACUAUGUUCUUGCUAGUAUCAUCAGGACUCCGAGCUUGUAUGGUGUCUCUACCGUCACAAGGAGAAGAUCAACCUCGCUGGUCACGAAGAGAAGAUCAGCCUCCGCUACUCAAGCUCCGACUCCAGCGAUCUCUCUUGUGAGUUUCACUGUUUUGCUCGGUUUGUUUCUUCUUCUGGUGGCGGGCCAAACGACGUCGCAUUUGGGCUUCGGUCCGUAAAUUGUAGACAUUAACAUUCUGCUGCCUCCCAGAAUGACUCAUCUGGUCUAGUAUCGGCUCCAGGGAGUAAUGAUUGCUUCAAAUGGGUAUAGAUAGAGGAAGUAUGGUAAAAAAGCAGUGAAGGUAAAACAGGUUGCUUUAAACACACAGCUGGAAAGUGGUCCGGCACCACGAUGAUAAAGGAAUUCAGACAUAAUGAUGCUAAGCUGUUUGCCAUCCCACUACAAGGUCCCAGCACCUACCAGACUGAAAGCAAAAGAAAAGCAGAAAGCAAAAGAACAUAAAAAGAAGCAGACAUAAUUGCGGUGGUGAUGGCAUGCAAAAAAGGGAAUUAUAGGCAUAACCCAUUGAGCAGAGGGUCGGAUUUAUUUUUGAAUGAUGUAAUUUAUUUUUCUUAUCUUUCGGAGACAUCUGUAUAAACCCCUUCAGAGAGUAAUAAUAAAAAAUUAAAAAAAAAACGGCAAGCCUAAAAUAGUGGGCUGCAAUGUCAUGUGGAGGGUGAAGACCCAUAUGCCCAAAAGAGCCAGGCCCUAUGGCUCCAAAUUUAUUCGGCACCCUGCCGCUAUUAUCACCAACCAAGUGAGCAAAAGUACGCCCAGUACUCCCAAAAUUAUUCGGCAACCUGCCGUUAUUAUCACUAACCAGGUGAUCAAAAGUACAUCCAAUACUCCAAAAUUAUUUGGCAGCUUACCGUUAUUAUCACUAACCAGGUGAUCAAAAGUACGUCCAGUACUCCAACAUUAUACAUGAGCAUCACUCAUGUCAAUCAUACAUAAACAUUCAUGACCAUCAUUCAUCAACAUCCAUGAGCAUCACUCAUGUCAAUCAACAUAAACAUUCAUGAGCAUCACUUAUGUCAAUCAGCUUCAAAAGCUUCCUUUACAGAGCUCUAUCUUCAAAAGCUUCAUUUACAGAGUUUUAGCUUCAAAAGCUUCAUUUACAGAGCUCUAGCUUCAAAGCUUCACUUGCAAAGCUUUCACCUACAAAGCUUCAGUGCAGGGUAUACAAAUACCGCAUCCGAACAAUCGCCACUUCGGCAUAUACAUGGAUUCUAUUUGAAGUCUCUAGCCAACAGACUUUAUUGACCGAAGACUUGGGGGACUACAUUAUGUACCAUAUAUUGGGCCUCAACUGGGCCUCAUGAAAAAUACUUGGGGGACUUAGCCCAUUAUUUAUGUACUGAGGAACGAGCCCUUAUUCUAUAAAAAGGACUCCCUCAAUUUCAUUAGAGAGCACCUAUUAUUCAUGUACUGAGGAGUGAGCCUUUAUUUUAUAAAAGAGACUCCUUCACCUUCAUUAGAGAGCAUCACCACCAGCUAAGCAACCGCCUCGCCGCGAGCAUCACUCCUAACUCAUCACUUAUGUAUUGAGGAGCGAACCCUUAUUCUAUAAAAUGGACUCCCUCACCAUCAUUAGAGAGCAUCGUCGCCAGCUGAGCAACUGCCUCGCCGCGAGCAUCAACUCUAGCCCAUCAUUUAUGUUUUGAGGAGCAAGCCCUUAUUCUAUAAAAGGGACUCCCUCACCUUCAACGCCAUAAGCCGAGCCAACCAAGGCAACAUAAGCCACAAGCCGAGCAGCCUCGCAACAUGUGCUACUUCUAGUUGAGCAUCAUUUCAGAUUAAGCACCGCCUCAUAUCGAGUAUCAGUCCUAGAUGACGUCCAGUUACUUCGCCCACACAUGGACUGAGUUUUAAGUCUCCAGCCAAAAGACUCUAUUGACUGAAUACUUGGGGGACUACUGUUUAUACCAUACUUAGGGCCUCCGUAUUUAGAUCUCGUAUAAAUACUAGGGGGACUCAAAUGUAAUUAUGUAAUAAAUGAAGGGGCAAAUAUGUAAUAAGUGAGGAGCCCUUAUUCUAUAAAAGGACCCCUCACUCUCCUCAUGAAGGGAGGCCAAAUCUUAGGCCAUACCCUCACCAUCUCAGAGCUCUCAUCCUCACAAAAAAGCUCUCUCUCUCCCUCUUCAACAUCUCGGAGAAAUACAAUAAUCAGUGUGGACGUAGCCCAAACAUUGUGGUGAACCAUGAUACAUCUUGUGUUAUUUACAUUUCUUGCAGAUUCAUGGUCGAAUUUACGUUGUCCCAAGACCUUCGGUUUUGUGCAUCAACAUAUUUGAUGGAUGAAAUAGAAACCUUGAUUAUCAUGUGGGUUGUUAUGUAGCUUGAAUUGAAUAAUUCAUGCUUGUCAAGUCCAACUGUUUGAUUGAGGAAUGUUAUGCCUUUUGGCUUGAGUGAAUAGUGUUAUAUGUCGAGUUAUAAAGACGUUGAACUACGAAUGGCUUGAUCCCUAUUGAGGGUACAUAGGCAAUCUAACGAAGAGGUUAGAUGCAGCCAUAAUGUAUACGCAAAAUUAUUAUGCAUCUAGAUCUUGAAUUAUAUUUUGUACAUAUCCAAAAAGGCGGGAUACGUUGAGUUACGAGCAUUUAGUGACGUCACGUGUCGAUCUGAGAUGUAUGUCGGGAUUGGGGCGUGACAAUUUAUCCCAGCCAUCUUUUUCCAGAUUCUGACGGUUGUAGCGGCAACCAGCUGAGAAGAAGAAAAAAAAGAAAAAAAAGGAAAAAAAAAAAAAGGAAGCCUAGAUCCGCGACCCGGAUCUAGCCCAACCUGAUUCUAAAAUGCAUAUGGAAUAUUCUUAGUGUUGACCUUUAAGAAAUUUUCUCGGAAAUCCUCCUAGGCUAAUUUCGACGUCUAGAGUCCAUUUUUGACUUCCAUUUAGGAAAAUUUUGAAGUUUUAACAUAGUUGACCACCGGGCCGUCUUUGUUGACUUUUUAAGUUUGAUCGUUCACUUUUCGUUGACUUUUUACAAAAUUUGCCUGGGACCCCUCUUAGCGUAUUUCGACGCUCUGAUUACUAUCGGAGACUCAGACUUUCUUAGCUUGAAAUGAUGUGACAUCGCAAGUACCUAUGAGUGGGUCUUUUCUUUUAUAUAGUACAUAUAUAUAUAUAUUUGUUAGUUUCCAUUUAUAUAUUUGGUAAAGAAUUUUCUACGUUACGCCUAGAUUAGGGUAACGUAUAUAAAAAUUAACGUAUUGAAGGAAUUCAUGCAAAUAUACUACGUCCUACGAGAUACACAUGUAUGCGUAUUAGUAUGGAUGCUUUAAUGGUAUUUACGGUUUUGAAUAGUAUUCCAUUGACUAGGGUUAUUGAAUUAUCGAUUUACCAUUGCAUGAUCAUAUUUGUGUUAUCUGCUCAUCGUGUGUUGCACUGGUGUUAGUACUUGCCUAGGCUAGGGCCAGUCUUUCACAUGUAUGUUCAAUUCGCACUGUACGCUCACUUUGGAUCCAUUGUAGGUGCCAGUCCUGUCCUCGAUUGCAAUAGGCAAUUAGGACUCGUAUGUGACGUGCUUAGCACCCGUUUUCAUGUGAUUGUAGUACUAGAGCGUAAAUCAUUAUUACACCCAGUCCUAUUCAUGUCAGAAUACCUUUGCAUGAACUCGUGUGUCAACAUAUGUCGAUGAGCACUCGAUGUGAUAUGUUUAUUUCUGCAAGAUAUUGUGAUUACUAGAAGUUAUGUACCUAUUUACGAAUUUUGUGACGUAUUGAAUUCUUGAGAUAUUGCAAACUACUGUAAGUAUUUUCAUACUAUACGUAGUAUGUAUAUUUUGGAAACUAUACUUGCUUUACGGUGAGGGGUUAUAAUGUUUUCAAAAAGCUUUUUAUAAAACUUUAUUUUUAAGCCCACUCAUCCUUGUUUUUCGUCCCUCCAGGAUUUAGUGGCAAUGUUCGUGUCGACGAGGAUUUCUGGCAAACGUUGAUAUCGGAGACUACUUCCGAUGGUAUAAUUCUCAAUCUACUAUACUGUACUUUACUUAUGCUCUUAUAUCACGUGUGAAAUGAGUUCAUUCACGCUCACUAGCGCACUCUUAUACUUAGGCACUUCUAGAUUUAAAUUUACUCACAUUUUUCACAUCACUACUCAUUAAUGAAAUCUUUAUUUUCCUAAAAGAUUAUUGCCUCAUAUGAGAAAGUCCCUAUAAUAUAAACCCUAAAUUUGAAGUUUACAUAAUUUUAUGUGAUAAUUUCAUUGGAAGCUAAUUCUUUUAGUUAAUUUAACUUGAUUUUAUUGUAAAAUAUUUUUUGUGUAAUAUUAUUACCCAAAAAGGUUCAAAAUUCUCAAAGCCAAAUUUUAUUCCAAUGGAGUUUUAAUGAAAAGUCCGCGGUACUGUUCACUUUAACGAAAAACCACAUUUUUACACUAAAAAUUCAAACUUAGUACUAUUCAUUUUACCUUUUAUUUUGUCCUUAUCAUUAAAACUCAAAGUUUUCGAGCCAUUUUCAUUAGUUUUCCUUUUAUUUGGGAGUUUUAACGAAAAGUCCGCGGACCCGGCUUUGCAACCCGGACCCAGCUUCUCUGCUCUCCCAGUUUCCAUACACUCUCAUCCCCUCCUAUUUUGUGCGAUCACGAUUAAGCACGUUAACAUUUUAUAUUGAUUUUUUUAUAGACAUAAUAAGACAAAAAACGAUAGUGAUAUAAAAUAUUGACGUGACUUAACAUUUGACAAAAAUUGAAGAUAAUUUUGUUUUUUUGACUAAAUGAUCAAAAUAAUUGGUGGCGAAUAAAAUCAGAAAUCUCACUUUGAAGAAACGAAACUUCCGACGUGGUGGGCUGCGACUUUUGACUGAUUGAGAGUCCUCCAUCCGCAGCUCCUCCGUCUUCCUCCCAAGCCUUUUACCUUUUCUUUCUUUCUUCUCCAAAACUAGCAAUCUGAGAUUUGAACCUCUCUCUCUAAGAAGCAGCGGCAUGCUUUUCCAAACGUAAUCUGCAAUUUAAUCAAACAGCCACCGAAUUUUCUGGAAUCCUGUCAACGCAGAGAUGCUUCGGAUUUUGAUCGGUCAACGCCAGCUGCUUACCUGAGCUCCAAAAGAUCCAACAGUGAUGACGUCCUCCACCUCUGUUUCUGUUUGGCUGAUUCUGCUGUUUGGCUUCUUUCACCUCUACAAGCUUGCUGCCAAUGUCGUCUCUGUGUGUUAUUGAAUUUGGGAGUGUUUGGUUGUGGGAACCGGAAUGAACUAAUGAAUGAAUGAAUGAAUGACUGAAUGACUGGAAACAUUCCCGAAGAGCUUGGGGGUUUGUCAGACUUGGUGAGCUCGGAUCUUUACUUGGCAACCUUGCAAAACUGCGUUUCCUAUAUGAACCCGCAUCCUUUUGUUAGAUAAAAUCUAUCGUCUUUCUUUUUUAUUCGAUAUGCUAAUCUGCUGUUUUUAAUUGUUCCAUUGGAGUGACUUUCUUCCUUAAAGUCCUUGUGCCGGAUGCAUAUAAUUUAUAGUAUGAUCCCUGGUUUCAAGAUUCACAAGAAGGGAACAUCCAGUCAUUGCAAGUCCUGUGAAUUUCAUACACUUUCAUCUCAGUAAGAGGGAGGAGAGAGUGAAAAGUUACUAAUUUCUCUACCAUCGGAGAAUGCAAAUAACAUAUAGUUUUGCCAUGGAAUGCAGGG